GACGCGGUGGCCGAGCGGUUAAGGCGUGUGACUAGAAUUUGACACAGUUAUUCUCGGAUAUUGUGUCAUAUACUGAGAUCACAUCUCUUCGGAGGCACAGGUUCAAAUCCUGUCCACGUCG
rfam:Exophiala mesophila strain CBS 40295 unplaced genomic scaffold supercont1.6, whole genome shotgun sequence.